rnacentral:rRNA from 1 species
UACGGAGGGCGCAAGCGUUGUUCGGAAUCAUUGGGCGUAAAGCGCGUGUAGGCGGUCUGGUCAGUCGGGUGUGAAAGCCCGGAGCUCAACUCCGGAACUGCACUCGAUACUGCCAGGCUAGAGUGCCGGAGAGGGUGGUGGAAUUCCCGGUGUAGAGGUGAAAUUCGUAGAUAUCGGGAGGAACGCCAGUGGCGAAGGCGGCCACCUGGACGGUGACUGACGCUGAGACGCGAAAGCGUGGGGAGCAAACAGG